AACGCAAAUUGCACUCCCUGGUAUUCCGGGGAGUAUGCCUGUUUGAGGGUCGUUAGAAUAAAAAUCGAGGCGUCGCUCUUUUUUUUAAGGGUGAUCGCGUCGGAAUUGAGCCGUCUUUCAAAUGUUAAUUCAUGUCAAAGUGGCUUAAAAUUCAUCCAUCCGGUACGAUUAAAGCGUAUUUAAGAUCAAUUUUGAUUAAGAACGCGCGAUGACGUACCAUCUCAUGUAGUACGUUUGACCUGGCGUCGUCAGGAUCAUUCGUAUACGAUACUCAAACUUCUGACCUCAAAUCAGGUAAGAAUACCCGCUGAACUUAA
rnacentral:misc_RNA from 1 species